rnacentral:rRNA from 1 species
GCCAGACUCCUACGGGAGGCAGCAGUGGGGAAUAUUGCACAAUGGGCGAAAGCCUGAUGCAGCAACGCCGCGUGAAGGAAGAAGGGUUUCGGCUCGUAAACUUCUAUCAACAGGGACGAAAGAAAUGACGGUACCUGAAUAAGAAGCCCCGGCUAACUACGUGCCAGCAGCCGCGGUAAUACGUAGGGGGCAAGCGUUAUCCGGAUUUACUGGGUGUAAAGGGGGCGCAGACGGCAAUGCAAGCCAGGAGUGAAAGCCCGGGGCCCAACACCGGGACUGCUCUUGGAACUGCAUGGCUGGAGUACAGGAGGGGCAGGCGGAAUUCCUAGUGUAGCGGUGAAAUGCGCAGAUAUUAGGAGGAACACCGGUGGCGAAGGCGGCCUGCUGGACUGUGACUGACGUUGAGGCCCGAAGGCGUGGGGAGCAAACAGGAUUAGAUACCCCUGUAAA